GCACACACACACCACCCACACACACCACCACGCCCUGUCCCCUUUCUCCACCCUGCAAGCUAGUUGCAUUUACCUCACAGAGCCUGGGCUGCGACUUGAAAGACUUUAGGCAGCAACAGAGUGACCCUGGGGGUGCUCUUGACCGACAGCCGCACCUCCGGCGUCUAGGACCUCCGAGCAGGGAUGCAUCUGGGGGUCUAGGGAAGCACUUCCACCCCCUCCUCUCCUCAACCCUGGCAGGAUGGCUACCGCUGCUUCAAGACAGUGACGUUUCUCUCCGGUCAGCUGUCAGGAGCGCUGAUGAGCUUCCUACUGUGCCACAAGGUGCGGGUGCUGGAGACACAGCUGAGCCUGGAAAUGAGAGUGGGCAUCGCCGUGGUCAUCAUGACUCCUCUGUGGUGUGGUCACCAUGUUGGUUCACUGUGUUGGGCUCUUAUUGACUGGUCUCCUGCUAGGCCUGACCUUGGGUGCCAGAGCCCUGCUGGCUUCUGAGCCUAUCUACCAACCACCUUCAGCCUGGGUGCCAGCUGGGGGGCUGGUGGGGCUGGCACUGCUGGGAGCCCUGCUCACACUUCGGUGGCCACGUCCAUUCACAGUUCUGGGCACAGCCCUGCUGGGUUCUGCAGUGCUUGUGGCCUGUGUUGACUACUUCCUGGAGGGGCUGGCACUGGGCAGUCGGCUGGGCCAACGCCUGCAGACACUUCCAGCCUUGCCUUCUCUCUGCUGAUAUAGCUGGGUCUUACUGGGGAUCUGGCCAGCCUUGGGGACCCUUGGGGCCCUGGCCCAGUGGAAGCUUGUGCCUGAGGAACAUGGAGGCCACGCCAAUGAGUUACUUCCAGAGUCUUCAAGAGUGCCAACUGGGACCAGGACCCCAGGCCACAGCCCCCCACACCGUCCUGGACCUGGAUUCUGACUGUGGUUCCACUGUACCCCUCACCUUAAUCUCUGGUUCUAACCAGACCUGAGCCUAGACUUCCACUUUUUCCUUCACCCCUGUGAGGGCCUGGGAACACUAGGUGGGCAGGGUUUGAGCCCACAGGACCUGCACACAAACUUCCCCACCUCUUGGACUUGGGGACAGGAUCUGUGCCUCAACCCAGACCAGCCUUGUAGGGAUAUGUUCCAAGAAUAGAGAAGAGUCUUAUGGGGAAGGGGGAGGAAGGGAAGUAUGAAUAUUUACCUCUGACCAAUAAUAGAGGUGCCCUGGUCCCCAAAGAAACUGACUCCCGAAUUCCCUCCAAGCCUUACCCAUAUAGCUUUUUUUUUUUUUUUUUGAGACAAGGUCUUGUUCUGUCCAGUACCGUGGCGUGAUCACAGCUCAUGACAACUUUGAUUUCCCCGGCCCAAGCGAGCCUUUCAUUCAGCCUCCUGAGUGGCUGGGACCACAGACGCCACACACAGCUAAUUUUUAUUUGUUCGUUUUUAUUUUUUUUGCAGAGACAGGGUCUCCCUGUGUUGCCCAAGCUGGUCUUGAACUCCUGGGCUCAAGUGAUCCUCCUGCUUCAGCCUCCCAAAGUGCUAGGAUUACAGCCACCGCACCUGGUCUUGAAAUAGCCUUUUAAAUAUCUACCUCAGUGCCUCACAGUGGUAAAAAUAAGCGUUUUUUUGUUUUGUAGGAUCAGGGAGCUUCCAAGGCAUUUGAUAGCUUUUUGAUGGGAAGAAGGGCUCUGAGGAGCUCCAAGAUACCCCAACCUCCAGGCCCUUCAUUAGAGGGUAGUUGGGUUUCUGUUUGGCCUUUCCUACUGGGCCCCAUAGGCUUAAACUACCCCGCCACCUCCCCGCACCUCCUACCUCAGCUGGGAGCACUAUCUUCCAUGGUGCUUCCACUUCUCUCCUCAACCUGGGGAAGACCACAGGGCAGUGCCUGCCUCAGGACCUGCCUUCCCCAAAAGCUGGCUUCUUGCUCCAAGGAGAGAGCAUUGGCCCGCCUGCCAGAGUCUUGCCUUUUGCCCAAAAGGAGCCUGGUCUUCAGGGCUGCAUAGGAGACAAGUGCCUUCUCUGCUUCUCACUGUGGGUGGCACUAAUUUCCUCCUUAACCAGAACUUUGUUCCUGCCACUAACCCAUUCUAACUCUUCCCCCUCUGACUCUCCUGCCCAAGGUCUGUUCCUGGUUUCCCAGAUGCAUAAAGGAAGACAUAUCCGUCCCCUGGGCAGCAAGGCUACAAUGGGAGGGAGGGAGGGAGAACAUGGGAGCCUGUGAAUAAAAUGGCAUUAAAUACUGAA
rnacentral:sRNA from 1 species